ACAAAACUCUUUUCUCUCUCCUUUCCCAUCAUUUUCGCCCCUCUCUACACUCUCUCCCCCUCUCACUUUUUCUCUCACUACCACCAUUGUUAACCAAUUCCCAAGCUUCCAAGAUCAUUUCUAUACCAAUAAACUCCAUCAAAUCAAGUCCUAAACAUCUAUAGCCUUGAAUCAAGAGCAUAUCCUUGAAUCAAGAGCAUAUUUGACGGAGUUUCAAGAUUUGAGUCAAAAGAGGAGAUUUUUAUUUUUGUUCAAAUCCUUGAAUACGAGCAGAGGACGGAGGUAAGAUCGUCCAAGUACUACGAGAGUAAGCUAAGUUUGUCAGGAUAAGCGAGAAGGAGGAAGAUCCGUCUGGUGCUGGUGGGGACUUUUUGGACGACGUUGUUCCUUUUACCGUAUUUAUAUUACAUACGGUAGCUUUUUGAUGUCGAUGUUUAUAUUUUGGACUUAGUCAAGAAGUAUACUCUCGGCUAUAUGUCUUCAUACAUAUAGUCUGUUCACAUUUUGCUGCGAGACUCUGUAAAUUAUGAACCUUUGUGAAUAUUUAACUAUGUCCGCUUUGUAAACUUUGUCGAGAAUCCCUGUACUUUUGAACUUACGAAGCUGAUAAUAUUUGUGUCUUUGAGAUGAUGUUAUUGUUAUUCA